rnacentral:rRNA from 1 species
UACAGAGGUCCCGAGCGUUGUUCGGAUUCACUGGGCGUAAAGGGUGCGUAGGUGGUGAGGUAAGUCGGAUGUGAAAGCUCGGAGCUCAACUCCGAAAUGGCAUUGGAAACUACCUUGCUCGAGGGUUGGAGGGGGGACUGGAAUUCUCGGUGUAGCAGUGAAAUGCGUAGAUAUCGAGAGGAACACCAGUGGCGAAGGCGAGUCCCUGGACAACUCCUGACGCUGAGGCACGAAAGCUAGGGGAGCAAACAGG